UAGUGGCGGACGGGUGAGUAACGCGUGAGAAUCUGCCCUCAGGAGGGGGAUAACGGCUGGAAACGGCCGCUAAUACCCCAUAUGCCGAGAGGUGAAAUGAAUUUCGCCUGAGGAUGAGCUCGCGUCUGAUUAGCUAGUUGGUGUGGGAAAGGCUCACCAAGGCAUCGAUCAGUAGCUGGUCUGAGAGGAUGAUCAGCCACCCUGGGACUGAGACACGGCCCAAACUCCUACGGGAGGCAGCAGGGGGGAAUUUUCCUCAAUGGGCGCAAGCCUGACGGAACAACCCCCCGUGAGGGAUGAAGGCCUCUGGGCUGUAAACCUCUUUUUUCAAGGAAAAAAAACUGACGGUCCUUGAUGAAUAAACCCCGGUUUAUUUCCGUGCCCCCACCCCGGGGGUAUUUCGGGGGGGG
rnacentral:rRNA from 1 species